AUGCGGCACCUGUGCCGAAAUCAGAGCAAAAGGAAAGGGGAUGCAGUGGCUGGCCAGUGCCUGCCUUGGAAGUGGUGCCAGAAAGUGGCAGGGGUGGGGCCCCCAGGGUGGAGGAGGAGGACCGGUUUCCUAAUAGUGGGGAUUUCUGGGGAGGAGGAGUCACGGGAAAGACCUCGCACAGGGUGGAUGAAACAAGCUUCUAUUUUUGUCGAAGCCAAGGGCAGUGACUGUACUGAAAUGCCCUGGCCUUGUGGGCAGAAGGGUGAGCCGGGACACCCUCUGUCCCUUCCUGCCCUGGGCAGAAAGCUCAGAAGAGGCACUGUGCCCCCAUGUUCUGGCACCAGCUGGCCAAACCCACAGACAGGCAGUCCAUCAUCCCCGAGCGCCUGGCAAGUGAGCAGAGAAGGAAGCAAUUCUAAUUCUAAGUUUGAUCCACGCUCUGGACUGGAUGGAGCCAUGCAGGCCCAUGUCACCUGCUUCUGCCACUCUCUGCCUUAUCUUGCCACCUGGUACUUCCAGCACAUUCAUUAGAAACAUGGGCAUUGCCAUGGGGUGCAUGGUAGCCCACCCCACCCCACUCCCAACCCCGCCAGAAGAUAUGUCCACAUCCUAAUCACUGGAACCCAUGAAUGGAACUUAUUUGGGAAAAGGGUCUUCACAGAUGUAAUGAAGUUAAGGAUCAUGAGAGGAGGAGAUCACCCUGGAUUAUCCUGAUGGGCCUGAAAUCUAAUGACAAGAGUCGUUAUUAGAAGCACACAGAGAGACAGAAGAGGAGGAGGGAAUGUGACCAAGGAGGCAGAGGUUAGAGCAAUGGGACCCCAAGUGAACGAAAGAAUGCUGGAGCCACCAGAGGGAGGAAGAGGCAAGGGCUGGAGUAUUCCUUAGAGCACCUGGAGGAAGUGCAGCCCUGAUGACACCUUAACCAUGGACCUGCAGCCUCCAGAACUGUGAAAGAACACAUAUCUGUUGUCUCAAGCCACCCCGGUCAUGGUAAUUUGUUGUAACAACCACAGGAAACAACCACAGGGAGGACCAGGUUGCAUAACUCCCAUCACCUUGGAUAAUAAUAAACAGCUAAUAUUUACUAAGUACUUACAAAGUGCUAGGUAUUGUGCUGAAGCCUGUUCAUGGAUCAUGUGUGGAAUUCUCAGAAUGACACUGUAGCACAGGUACAGAUAAGGACAGGAAAGCCCUAAGGAGAUAAGUGCAUUCCCACCGUCACACAGGCCAGUGUGAUGGACCAGCCAAAGCAGGUUGCCUGUCUGGCUACAGCCCAUGUGCAUCACCACUCAGUGACAUUGCCCUUAACGGGGGACGUGGGGUCCACUGGGACCUACAGUGCCACUGGCUCUGUAGCACCUCCACCCCCUCUCUAGGUCACACAGCCUCCGUCCUCCAGCAUGGUUGUCCCCAGACCUGCUCUUCCUCUGCUUCGCCAGCUGCAGGAUCCCACUUGCUGACCACCCCCCCACAACACACACUUUUAGGUGUCUCAUAUAUUCCCUCCCACUCCAUUUGACCUUUGGUCUCUAGGCCAGUAGACUUCAAAGUGGACUACUUGUAUCCUUGUGAGCAUGCAGAGACUUUCUAAGAGGCAAACAGGCAAGAGUAGUUUUAGGGAGCCAUAUUUUAGAAUCUGAGUUUCCAUGGGAACAUAACUUGCAUCAUUCAGUCACUGCCACAAGAAUGUUGCGCAACAAACCACCCCAACACAUAGUGACUUAAAACAGCAAUCGUUCAUACUCAUGGCAGCUGUGGGUCAGGUGGAGGCCCCGAUCUAGGCUGCAGCUCUGCCGUUUGCUGUGCUAGGACUGGCUCCAGGUUGGGUGAUCAGAUUUACAGAGCCCUACACUCAGACAGACCUGGCACUUGGGCUUUAAUACUCUGAGAUGAACCCAAUGCGUUCAUGUUUUGUGAGUAAAGUCUGAUGAAACAUGCACAAGAGGCUUCAAGCGUCAGUUCACCCGUGGUGCUUCUCUCAUCUCCCUGCCCCCCAGGAUAGGUGCUUAGCCAUCAGCUCUCUGUUCAUGCCCAGUGACCACUGCUGCCCGCUGUCCCCAUGGGGUUCUGGACAUGGGCACAGGGAGGGCCAGUCAGGCAUGUGCUCUGGAGUGUCUUCAGGUGGGGCAGGGUAGUGGCUACUUAGGCAGUGUCAUGGCACAUUAUUGGGCAAUGAGCAGGGACUUUUUGCUCAUUCUCAAUCCAAAUACCAAGUGCAUCCCUGCAUGGAGCUUUCUGCCCUUUGGGUGUUGCCCAUCCACCAUGGACUGAGGUGGUGAGGCAGGAGAAAGAAGGAGUGAAUCCUGUUGCGCCACAUUUUUAUUUUGCAAUGGGCCCUACCAUUAUGUGACAGGCCUGGUGGGGCCAGCUUAGUUCCGUAUCUCAUUUGGGGCCCAGUGAAGGGCAGCAGCUACCCAGAGCAUGGUCUUCUCAUAGUACUAGAACCCAAACCAAACUGUGCGAGCACUUUUCAAGCUUCUGCUCACAUUUGUCCAGUCAAGCAAGUCACUAAACCAUGCUCAAGGCCAUGAGUGGGAAACACACCCCACCAGCCACCAGGCGGCCCCUGGUGAGGGUGUGGCCGCAUGAUGUUAUGGACAGUAGAAAAGUAGGAGUCUCCUUCUAAAAUGAGUCUCCUUGGGAUCCUGGGUGGCUCAGCGGUUUAGCGCCGCCUUCAGCCCAGGGCAUGAUCCUGGAGUCCUGGGAUCGAGUCCCGCGUCUGGCUUCCUGCCUGGAGCCUGCUUCUUCCUCUGCCUGUGUCUCUGCCUCUGUGUGUGUGUGUGUGUGUGUAUCUCUCAUGAAUGAAUAAAUAAAAUCUUUAAAAAUAAAUAAAUAAAUAAAUAAAUAAAUAAAUAAAUAAUAAAUAAAUAAAUAAAAUGAGUCUCCUUCAGAAUGGAGGGCCUGAUUCCACUAGCCCUUCUUUCCACCUCCUGUCUCACAAGCGUCCUUCUUCCACCUUACCAAAGAAAGGCAGGGGUGUGUGUGGUUCAACCAAUGAUGCACUAGUGUAAUCCAGGAAAAGGGGUGAACAUUCCCAGCUUAAUAGUCAGAGGAAAUAUUUUAACAUCUUAUUUCAGUAUAUGUAAAUACUUUUGUUAUGGGGAACUGUGAUAUGGUCAACAACUAAAGACUUUUGAGCACAAAAACCUACAAUUCUUUAGAGAGAGUGGGAUCAAAAUAUGAAAAGGAGUAAAAGGAAUGUUGAAAAACCCCUUUGUUAGAGAACAGCUAUGCUGGUGGCUAUUAAGGCAGUAUGGCAUUUAGAAGAGCCACAGCUAAGUCAGAAAUGUAACCAUUUUAUUUUAACAUGUAAAUAUAAUAAGCUAGAAAUGACAUUCUUUGCUACUACUUGAAUUUAAGAUGAAAAAUUUUAAGUGUUAACUUAGAAAUGUUGGGGCAGGUACCUGGUUUCUCAAACCAUGUCUCCCCCCCAACUGCCCCGCAAUCAAAAAAAAAAAAAAAUGUAAAGUCCACUCCUCAAGAGCAGAAGAACCUUGCAUUUUUAUCCAACCUACCACUUUGAGACUUUACUUUCUUCCUUAACCCCAUAAGUAUAAUAAUCCAGACACAGAAAAAUAUGGCAUCACUUACAUUUGGGAUCAAAAAGGAUAAAUGCUGAAGUCACAUCAAUAGAGUAGAAUGCUGGUUGACAAGGGCUAGAGGGUUGGGAGAAAUGGGGAGAUGGUGGUCAAGGGGUAUACAAACUUUCAGCUCUAAGGCGAAUGACUCCUGGAGAUCUAAUGGUGACUACCGUCAACAUUACCGUACUGUAUACUUGGCAUUUGCUAAGGGAGUAGAUAUUAAGCGUUCUCACCACCCAAAAAGGUAACUAUGUGAAGUGAUGGAUGUGUUAAUGAACUCGAUUGUGGUAAUUAUUUCACAACUAUACGUAUAAAUCAUCAAGUUGUACACCUUAAUGAAAAACAUCACCCUGUACAACUUGAAAAAAAAGAAAAAGAAAACUUCUAACCACCAUCAAUCAUGGCUUAAUUUAUCUCUUCUUGAUUUGAGGAGGAUGCAACUAUCUAAAUCAUGUCAAAUUUUUCUUCUUAGGACCUGUUUGUGACGUUCUGUGGCAGAAACCCUUGCAAACAGCUUCUUGUCAGUCCUGACAUUUUUUUUUUUAACAAGCCAGGUCUCCUGACUCUUUCCAAAUAAAGGGUGUUGGGUUGCCUCCUUAGGACUCCCCAUCAUCAUUCUGACAACCAAGAGUUUUUGAAGUUUUUUCUUCUAUAUGCUGGUAA
rnacentral:lncRNA from 1 species